rnacentral:misc_RNA from 1 species
GCCUGGUAUAAACAGGAUACUAGAGCUGAAGGGAAGGGAAGAGCUGCUCGGCUUCAGAGAAGACUACUAGUUGUGGAGGUGGAGAAAGCAAUUAUGCAAUACCAGAGUUUUGUUGACCAAGGACGUGUGAAAGAUGCUGAAUGUAGGUUUGGGUUACUGUUGUAUAGUUUGGGUCGGUUGUACCAUGCUUCCGAGAACCAUGCCAAAGCAACUGGUGAAUGGCUAUAUUUGAGGCAGGAUAUUCUGGACCUGGGGAAGCCCAGUCUUCCAACAAGAGAUAAACUCAGAAUUACGUGGCGCAUGGAACGG